rnacentral:rRNA from 1 species
UACGUAGGUGGCGAGCGUUGUCCGGAAUUACUGGGUGUAAAGGGCGUGUAGGCGGGAUUGCAAGUUGGAUGUGAAAUUCUGAGGCUUAACCUCAGCGCUGCAUCCAAAACUGUAAUUCUUGAGUGGUGGAGAGGAAAGUGGUAUUCCUAGUGUAGCGGUGAAAUGCGUAGAUAUUAGGAGGAACACCAGUGGCGAAGGCGGCUAACUGGUCCAUAACUGACGCUGAGGUGCGAAAGCGUGGGGAGCAAACAGG